GGAUUCCAUGUAAACAUGAAACUCCAGAGCUGGGCUCGUUGCUCCCCAUAACUACAACCCCUCGAAAUACAGCACUAACUGCCUUUGAAGCAUUAGUGGGUUUGGGCCUAAGUCUCACGUGAAGACACAGUCCAGCAAGCUGGUAAGGCCAGUUUGGGCAAACAAGGAAGGAACAGAGUACUUUGGAUUCAAAGCAUGCAGGUAUAGCCCAACCACUAGCCAGGGCUACCAGAGAAACGCCAGCCAGCAGCCCCCUUCCAGCAGGCAGCACACCCACCCAGCAGCACCUUCCCCAGGGCUCCUUCCCCUCCUCAGAAGCCCUCGAACCGGACCAGGCCCUGCCGAGCUCACAAAGGGGCCCCUCCUGUGCCAGGGCCACAGCAGCCACUGCCAGUGCCAACACACAUCCUACCACCGGCCUCAGGGUUCACUCCAUCCUCUAGUGAACCUCGGAAGACAGAGGGAGUCCAGUCUGAAAAAACAGCUUUAUCAUAAAAAUACAACUCAGUUUGCUGAUAAAACCUGUAAAGGAGAAUGCUUCCCCCCCUACAGUCUUCAUG